GGGGAAUAUUGGACAAUGGGCGCAAGCCUGAUCCAGCCAUGCCGCGUGUGUGAUGAAGGCCUUAGGGUUGUAAAGCACUUUCACCGAUGAAGAUAAUGACGGUAGUCGGAGAAGAAGCCCCGGCUAACUUCGUGCCAGCAGCCGCGGUAAUACGAAGGGGGCUAGCGUUGUUCGGAAUUACUGGGCGUAAAGCGCACGUAGGCGGAUUGGUCAGUUAGAGGUGAAAUCCCAGGGCUCAACCCUGGAACUGCCUUUAAUACUGCCAGUCUUGAGUUCGAGAGAGGUGAGUGGUAUUCCGAGUGUAGAGGUGAAAUUCGUAGAUAUUCGGAGGAACACCAGUGGCGAAGGCGGCUCACUGGCUCGAGACUGACGCUGAGGUGCGAAAGCGUGGGGAGCAAAC
rnacentral:rRNA from 1 species